GACGAACGCUGGCGGCGUGCCUAAUACAUGCAAGUAGAACGCACAGUUUAUACCGUAGCUUGCUACACCAUAGACUGUGAGUUGCGAACGGGUGAGUAACGCGUAGGUAACCUGCCUGGUAGCGGGGGAUAACUAUUGGAAACGAUAGCUAAUACCGCAUAAUAUUAAUUAUUGCAUGAUAAUUAAUUGAACGGUGCAAUUGCACCACUACCAGAUGGACCUGCGUUGUAUUAGCUAGUAGGUGAGGUAACGGCUCACCUAGGCGACGAUACAUAGCCGACCUGAGAGGGUGAUCGGCCACACUGGGACUGAGACACGGCCCAGACUCCUACGGGAGGCAGCAGUAGGGAAUCUUCGGCAAUGGACGAAAGUCUGACCGAGCAACGCCGCGUGAGGGAAGAAGGUUUUCGGAUCGUAAAGCUCUGUUGUAAGAGAAGAACGGGUGUGAGAGUGGAAAGUUCACACUGUGACGGUAUCUUACCAGAAAGGGACGGCUAACUACGUG
rnacentral:rRNA from 1 species